GAGUUGUAGAUAGGUGUGAGCUGUCAUGUGGGUGGGUGCUGGGUCCCGGUGCUCUUAGCUGCUGAGCUAUCUCUCCAGACUCCAUCCUGACUUUCUUUUUUCUCUAGGGAUAUAGAAUUCACUCGCUCCCGGCACUUUCACUUCCUCCAUUUGGGACUAGGUUAGAGAGCAUCUCUGGGUGCUGCCAUAGUUAGUGGGAGCCAUGGCCUCCAGCAGGGAUGAGCCCUGGCACUCAUCAGCAUGAGUAAAGCAAACGCUUGCAGACUGACACCUGGAUGGAUAAAGGAACCAGUUCCUGUCACAAGAGUGGAAGCUAAGCAAGCCUUCAGCCUGUUUCCAGAGCCUAUGAAAGACGGAGGCACAGGGACUGAAGGAUCGGAGUUAAGGUUUCACCUUCGAGGGUUCUCCAGCCCUACCCACCAGCUGCGAUUGAGAUGGGCGCAGCUCAAGGCUCCAGUUUGAGACACUCCACUGCCUGGGCUCAGGAGCUCAAGAUCGAGAGGAUUUUGUUGAGCGCCCGCCUGAGUGUACCUCCACUUCCCUGCACAAAGGCAGCAAGAGCUACUGGUCUGAGGGUCAGCGGGGGCGCGCCUGCCACCACCACCACCAACUGAGGCUCUCUCCUAAAAUGACACUCACACCCGUUCUCCACCAAGUUUCUCUGGGCCUUGUCCUACCUCACAACCU
rnacentral:lncRNA from 1 species